rnacentral:rRNA from 1 species
UACAGAGGGUGCAAGCGUUAAUCGGAUUUACUGGGCGUAAAGCGUGCGUAGGCGGUUCAUUAAGUCGGUUGUGAAAUCCCUGGGCUUAACCUGGGAACUGCAGUCGAUACUGAUGGACUAGAGUACGGUAGAGGGUGGCGGAACUCCGGGUGUAGCGGUGAAAUGCGUAGAUAUCCGGAAGAACACCGAUGGCGAAGGCAACCACCUGGGCCUUACCUGACGCUGAGGAGCGAAAGCGUGGGGAGCAAACAGG